GUGGGGAAUUUUGGACAAUGGGCGCAAGCCUGAUCCAGCAAUGCCGCGUGCAGGAAGAAGGCCUUCGGGUUGUAAACUGCUUUUGUACGGAACGAAACGGUCCGGGUUAAUACCCUGGGCUAAUGACGGUACAGUAAGAAUAAGCACCGGCUAACUACGUGCCAGCAGCCGCGGUAAUACGUAGGGUGCAAGCGUUAAUCGGAAUUACUGGGCGUAAAGCGUGCGCAGGCGGUUUUGUAAGACAGGCGUGAAAUCCCCGGGCUCAACCUGGGAAUUGCGCUUGUGACUGCAAGGCUGGAGUGCGGCAGAGGGGGAUGGAAUUCCGCGUGUAGCAGUGAAAUGCGUAGAUAUGCGGAGGAACACCGAUGGCGAAGGCAAUCCCCUGGGCCUGCACUGACGCUCAUGCACGAAAGCGUGGGGAGCAAACAGGAUUAGAAACCCGAGUAGUCC
rnacentral:rRNA from 1 species